rnacentral:lncRNA from 1 species
GCGGGGUAGCGGACGCGCGCGGCUUGGAGGUUACUGGCUGGACCGCGGAGCGCCUGGCUCGCACCAGAUGAUGGAGCGGCUGACAGGAAGGGCGACACGCUGGGCACGCACCGGCUCAAGCCAGGCCUGGUCCCGAGCGCUGGUAUCCGAGCGUUUCGUAACCGUACUGAACCAGGUGGCUUCUAAACGGUCUGGUGGGAGGUUUUGGGUAAGCGAGGCACCUGGCGCGCAGUCAGUGGGAAAGGACGUGGAGGGUGGAUGUGGCCGAAGGAAAUGGAAAUACCUGUUUUUAAAGAAAUUUACAGCUGAGGCUGUACGCAGUUAAUCGGGUGCUUACUUAGCGCACCUGUAGCCCUGGGUGCCAUUCCCAGCAUAAA